CUGUCUAGGUUGACCCCAAGUCUGCCGCAUGGAAGCAGGGCAUUAGAAGUGGGAAUGUGAUUGUUUCCUUUGAUGAGCAGCCUCCUAAACCUCUGCUGGAGUUUGAAGUUUUUCUAUUGUCUCUUGGUUUAAAGCACCUCCAUGGGACACACACAGAGGUUGAUUUCAAGCUGUAAGUUCAAGAUCCCGACAAUGUUCAGAGAAGCAUUACCUUGCAUGUUCCAUUCUCUGAUGUUGCCAAUGUUCUGAGCUGAGUGCUGUCGUGCGUGCUGUGUCAUAUACUCAUAUGCUCUUCUGCAUCCUGACUUUGUUUUUGUGUAUGUGCGUUGCAGAACAAGUAUGUUGAAUAGUCGGGGUCUCCAUACCAUUGUACUUUUACGGCUGGAGUGUAACAUUUCGAAUGAGAAAUAGGACUGACAGAAUAUGUAAUCUCUCAGCUGGAAUAGUAAAUUUCUGGAGCUUGACUAGCUUGAUUAA